CCUACGGGCGGCUGCAGUGGGGAACAUUGCACAAUGGGCGCAAGCCUGAUGCAGCCAUGCCGCGUGUGUGAAGAAGGCCUUCGGGUUGUAAAGCACUUUCAGCGGGGAGGAAGGCGGUGAGGUUAAUAACCUCAUCGAUUGACGUUACCCGCAGAAGAAGCACCGGCUAACUCCGUGCCAGCAGCCGCGGUAAUACGGAGGGUGCAAGCGUUAAUCGGAAUUACUGGGCGUAAAGCGCACGCAGGCGGUCUGUCAAGUCGGAUGUGAAAUCCCCGGGCUCAACCUGGGAACUGCAUUCGAAACUGGCAGGCUAGAGUCUUGUAGAGGGGGGUAGAAUUCCAGGUGUAGCGGUGAAAUGCGUAGAGAUCUGGAGGAAUACCGGUGGCGAAGGCGGCCCCCUGGACAAAGACUGACGCUCAGGUGCGAAAGCGUGGGGAGCAAACCGGAUUAGAUACCCCAGUAGUC
rnacentral:rRNA from 1 species